rnacentral:hammerhead_ribozyme from 1 species
AUCCAGAUGACCAGUUUAAAAUAGGAUGAAACGCGCGUCAAACUAGAU